AGCGAACGCUGGCGGCAUGCCUAACACAUGCAAGUCGAGCGCUCCCAGCAAUGGGGGAGCGGCGGACGGGUGAGUAACGCGUAGGAACGUAUCCUGAGGUGGGGGAUAACCCUGGGAAACUAGGGCUAAUACCGCAUGAUGGCGAGAGCCCAAAGAUUUAUCGCCUUGGGAGCGGCCUGCGUCUGAUUAGCUUGUUGGUGGGGUAACGGCCUACCAAGGCGAUGAUCAGUAGCUGGUCUGAGAGGAUGAUCAGCCACACUGGGACUGAGACACGGCCCAGACUCCUACGGGAGGCAGCAGUGGGGAAUAUUGGACAAUGGGCGAAAGCCUGAUCCAGCAAUGCCGCGUGGAUGAAGAAGGUCUUCGGAUUGUAAAGCUCUUUUAGUAGGGAAGAUAAUGACGGUACCUACAGAAAAAGCCCCGGCUAACUCCGUG
rnacentral:rRNA from 1 species